UGCCACUGCACUCCAGCCUGGGCAACCGAGUGAGACUCUGUCUCAAAAACCUCCCUGGUUCAAGCAAUUCUCAUGCCUGAGCCUCUGGAGUAGCUGGGUUUACAGGUGUGAGCCACCAUGCCCAGCUAUUUUUUUUUUAAAUUGAGACAGAGUCUCGCUCUGUCACUCAGACUGGAGUGCAGUGACUUAGUCUUGGCUCACUGCAACCUCCGCCUCCUGGGUUCAAGCGAUUCUCCUGUCUGAGCCUCCAGAGUAGCUGGGAUUACAGGCGUGCGCCACCAUGCCCGGCAAAUUUUUUGUAUGUUUAGUAGAGAUGGGGUUUCACCAUGUUAGCCAGGCUGGCCAUGAACUCCUGACCUGAGGUGAUCCACCCACCUUGGACUCCCAAAAUGCAGGGAUUACAGGUGUGAGCCACCUCACCUGGCCGAGGCUUUCAAUUUUAGUAUGUCUGGUUCACUCACUAAGUCUAGAAGAAUUUUCAGCUUCAUUUGUAAGUGCUUUGAGCCAAGGGUAAAUGUAGACUAGCCAAACUGAUAAUUUUAGGUUUGCAUAUCUUGCAGAUAGGAAGACUAAUUUUCUUUCUGUCCUCAGGAGGUAGAAAUUUUAAAAACUGAACUUGAGGCAUCUCAAAGACAACUCAGAGGUAAAGAGGAAGCAUUGAAAAUUCUUCAAAGCAUGGCAAUACUUGGCAAAGCCACAAGUCAUACGCAGGCAGUGCUUCAAAAAACUAUGGAACAAAACAGAUCCUUGAAGAAGGAAAUAAAUGCGUUGCAGUGGGAAAUAGAAUUUGAUCAUAAUAGAUUUAAAAAUAUAGAAGAAUCUUGGAUCCACAAAUAUGACAGGCUAAACUGUGAAAAUGCAGUCCUCAAAGAGAAUUUGAAAGUGAAAACAGAAGAAAUUAAAAUGCUAAAGUCUGACAAUGCAGGUAAUGAUGAUUUUUGUAUUAAGAGCACAUGUAUCAAUAAAGAUAACAUGCUAGUAUUUUGAAAUAAUAUACAUUAAGCAUAAUGGAAUAAAUGUAUCAUUUAGGUUUUUUAAAUUUAAGAACAUUUAUCAAGGUGAAAUUCACACAACAUAAAACUAUUUAAAAGUGAACAAUUCCUGGCUGGGUGCAGUAGCUCACACUUGUAAUCCCGGCACUUUGGGAGGCCAAAGCGGGCAGAUCAUCUGAGGUCAGGAGUUCAAGACCAGCCUGGCCAACAUGAUGAAACUCAAUUUCUACCAAAAAUACAAAAAUUAGCCAGGCAUGGUGGUGCACACCUGUAGUCCCAACUACUCAUUAGGCUGAGGCAGGCAAAUCGUUUUUACUCUGGAGGUGGAGGUUGCAGUGACCCAAGAUUGUGCCUCUGCACUCCAGCCUGGACAACAGAGUCAGACUCCAUCUAUUAAAAAAAAAAAAAAAAAGUGAACAAUUCUUGCCAGGCGCAGUGACUCAUGCCUGUAAUCCCAGAACUUUGUGAGGCCAAGGCAGGAGGAUACCUUGAGCUUAGGAAUUUGAGACCAGCCUGGGCA
rnacentral:lncRNA from 10 species